UGCUCAAUGCUGUGGGAAGCCAGGGUGCUGCAUUUUGACACUGUGUGAUAACUGUGACUUGAAAAGUGAAAGGCUGCAAUUCCCUUAUGGAAGAAUAAAGGCAAGAUGGCAUUGCCAUUAGAGAAAUUAAUUGGAUGCUGAUAGAAAAAGCUUUGCUUUAUGGUGUUCUGUGUGUCCUGCACAGUUAUCUGCAAACAGCUGGUGGCAAGAGCAGUUACAGCUGAUGGAGCCAGGCCGUCCCCAGUCACAGCUGCAGGCAGACUUCAUCUCCACGGCUUUGAAAAGAUCUCAGUGCCUCUAUAUAAAACUGCCAAAGAUUUUUUUCUGCUUUUCCUAUGUUGAAUGGUGUCAUCUCUCAAACCUGCUAUGAGAAGAAGGAGAAUACCUAGAAAUGC
rnacentral:lncRNA from 1 species